AGUGAACGCUGGCGGCGUGCUUAACACAUGCAAGUCGAACGAGAACGGAAUAUAGCUUGCUAUAUUUGUCAGCUAAGUGGCGCACGGGUGAGUAAUGUAUAGAUAACCUGCCCUUAAGAAAGGAAUAACAGUUGGAAACGACUGCUAAUGCCCUAUAUGCCUUUAAUACAUAAGUAUGCAAGGGAAACGCUUUAGUGCUUAAGGAUGGGUCUGUAUGGUAUCAGCUUGUUGGUGGGGUAAUGGCUCACCAAGGCUAUGACGCCUAACUGGUUUGAGAGGAUGAUCAGUCACACUGGAACUGAGACACGGUCCAGACUCCUACGGGAGGCAGCAGUGGGGAAUAUUGCACAAUGGACGAAAGUCUGAUGCAGCAACGCCGCGUGGAGGAUGACACAUUUCGGUGCGUAAACUCCUUUCAUAUAGGAAGAUAAUGACGGUACUAUAUGAAUAAGCACCGGCUAACUCCGUGCCAGCAGCCGCCGUAA
rnacentral:rRNA from 1 species